AAAUGGAAAUAGAAAAUCAUCAUUUGGCAAUCACCUUAGUCAUGGCUGAUAAAAGUCAUUUUCAGUGGAGAGUGGAGGUUUGAUAAAGAAUAGGAUAAGAGUGUAACCUAAGAAUAUCUCCCAUAAAAUACUAAUACGUUACGAGGGGGAAAAUGGUAGGAAUAAGGUGGAGAAACCUGGCAGACACUGACAUGAUCAAGAGUAACAUCAAGAGGUAGGAUUCAUGUGCCUUUAGACAGGACACACUGACAGCACCAACAAUGCAAGACUUGAGUCUUCAUGAGGAAAUACCAGAGCAAUCCAAUAAAGUAAGGUCUAAACUGUUUAAAACUGACAAGGACACAACAGACAGAAAGAAUAUGUGUUCAAGACUGAAGGAAUCUGAAGAGAAUGACAACUCAAUGCUACACAUGUUCCUGGAUAGGAUUCUGGACCAGAAAGGAAAAGAGACAUUCCUGGGAUGGCUAGCAAAAUUCAGCAGCAUCUGUGGAUUGCAUGGUAGUAUUGUACCAGAGCUGAUCUCCUGAUUUGGAGGGUUCUAUGCUGGCCAUGUAGGAGAGUGGCUUUGUUUUGGGGAAAUGUGUAAUGGAUGUUGAAAAAGGAGGGGCUGCCAUGUCUACAGUUUAUUCUGAAGACCAAUGUAAUGGGUAUCUAGAGAGGGAAAAAAACAGUGAGCAUGAGAGCAAACAUGAUAAAAUGUUAACAACUAAGGAGGGAAUCCAGGUGAACAGGAGACAGAGUUGUUUGUACUUACUAUUUUGGCAACUUUUCUAUAAAUCUGAAACCAUUUCAUAGACUAAUAUUUUUAACAGAACUUACUGGCUUAAUUCACAUAGAUUCUAGAAGGUAUGGUCGCCUAAUUUUUUCAGCUUCAGUCUUGAUUAAAAAGUGAGAUUUAAGAUGGGCAAGUACUUGGAUUUCAAAAAUGGUGUUCUAAACAUACAUCAUAAAUGCAGAGAUGAGAAAAAAGUCCCCUCACAGAAAUUAGGAGACCUAAAAUAAGGAGAAAACACAAAAAACUUACCUCAUACAUUUUUCUAGAACUUCUCUUACAAACUUUGGUUUGGGACUUUCAGGAUCUUGAGUAAGACAAUCUGACCUAAUGAGGAAAUGUGGUUUUAUAAGUUCUUCCACACAAUUGCAACUUAAAAGUUUUGUUAAUUUAUAACUGCACUUAUAACUAUUUGUACUUUACUACAAAUAGUUUCCUUCUACCUACUGUUUCAUUUAUACAUAGCAAAUAAACAUCAAAUAAAGGAAAUAAUUCAGACAGUGAAGGUUGCUUUUAUGUUACAGUUUUAAACAGUAACAGUUUUUUGACUAGGGAAAGGAAGGAUAAAACACAUCAUCACUUACCAAUCUUCCCAGCUCCAACGGAACUGGAAGUUACUUAGAUGAUGAGAAAACCAAUUAAUAAACCUAUAUAGAAAAGAGGAGGUGGGGACAGAAAAAGGAAGAAUGGUUAUGAUUUAGAACAGAAAUUUAUAAAAUCCUCCAUAACAGAUAAAACCCUACUUUAUAGAGUUAAUGAAAAGCACAUUCCUCUACCUAUAGCUGUAUGUUCUCCUGCCACUAAAUCUUUUCUCUGCAAAUCUUGUAAUUCAUUUUUUAAUAGUCCCCUAUCUCACUUCUAAUACCGCUUUUAUCUUUUUUAGGUGAAUAAGAGCUAUGAUUCCAGCAUCUGUUUUGUGACGGCACCUUCUAUGUUCAUAUAACUUAAUUCUCACAACUUCUGAGGUUAUGUAUUACAAGUAACUGAUGAUGAAACUGACGGGAAAAAAAAAGAUUAUAUAAAUGGCAGAGCCAAAGUAGUAUAGUCUCUUAUCACAGCAUGCCCCUUUCACUACAAACAGAAUAUAUCAUUGAAGCCCCCUUUUCCCCUAAAAAUAUUCCUGAUCUCUAACUAGAUAGGGAACAUCUUAUUAUUCUAUAUAAUGCUGUGGACUUCCCAAGAGUCCAAUAAAUAUUUGCUGAAUGAAUGGCAAAAUGGAGAUGCCUAACAUGACUGCUAUUUUAUUAACUAGAAUGGGAAAAAAAUCAGAGAAGACACUCCCUUAAAGCAUGUCCCUCAUGUAUCUAUAACUUCAAUCACUAAAAUUAUUCAGGGUAAAAAGGCCAAUGACACAGGAUAGCCUUUAAUGAUAAUUUUCAAAUAUGGAAUUUGAACAAUGGACAUGAAAGAUCAUAGACAUUACAGAAGUGUUCAAUACCUGUCCUUAUUUGAUUUGGAAAACUGACAGAGGUAAGAAAGAAUACCAGCGAAUAAAGGUGACCACUCAGACUUCACCCAAAAGAAAAUAGUGACCAUACAAUUAUCACAGACGUGAAAAUUCUAUAAUAUGAUCUUUUAUAUAAACUAAGAGUCUUGAAACUGUAGGUCUGAAAAGACUUUUAUGUAAAAGCUAGAGUUUAGAUGCAGAUACUACCUAUAAACAAAAAAAUAUACAUUAUUUAUUAAAAACAAAAAAUAUAUAUUGUUAAUAUUUAUAUAUAAUAUACAGAUUAGAUUCCCCUUCUACAUAAGGGUUAGCAUAAAACGUAUUUUAAAAGUGUACAUAUGCAAUUACAGAGGGAAAAAGUAAAACUGUACCAAAGUACCAAAUACAUAAACAAUGAAUGGAAUUAAAACUGCAGCAUGGGCAUCAAAAAUGUAACAUUACAGUACAACAAGUACAAGUCUUGUUAAUACACAAAGUUUAUUUUGGGGAGGCAAGAAAGAAAACAUGGAAAUUCUUAAAAUGGCAAAUGUCUUGAUCAAAUUCCUUUAUAAAGUAGAAGGAGUAGAAGCUACUGACACAGUAUAGAAAUAAGGCAAUAAUGGUACCUGUCUACACAUGUCGUAUUCAUUGUGUCCAAACGCAUGUAUAACAUUUCAGUUGCCUGUGCCAGCUGCGAAUUUGAGGAUAAGGAAAACUAUUCUCCGCUCUCAUACAAAACAAAUUGUGUAACAGAAAAAAUUAAAACAUUUCUGACGACUCCAGAAGAACAAGAAAUUUAACUAUUUUUAAAGAGUUCAUAAUCACUUACUUGCCUCUGGAAUAUUUGGCUUGAAAUGCAUGGUGAUUCUCAUAAAACACAGCACCUGGCUAUUCUAAGCUGGGGUUGUUAAGUCUCUACAAUGACUGAAAUGAUCUUCAGAUACCACAUGAACUUAAGCUGAAUAAAAUCAAUUUGUUACUAUCCAGAUAGGACCAAAGGGAGGCAUUAUAAAAAAUUACAGGCUAUGUUGAAGGACAAGGUUUGUUUGGCAAAUGGGAGGAGGAAGAAAGUAUUAAGAAGGAAGAGAUGCCCCACUCUCACCUGAUAUUUGAGAGAAUAUGAAGAGGAGGGGAAAACUACAGACCCAAUAUGAAUUCAAGGACACUAACAAGGGAUGCCGAGAAGGGAGAAAAGAAAGCAUACGAAGAGCAAAGAAAAUGGGAACAACAAAAAGACUCAUAUUCUCUAAAACCCCAAGUGAUGACUCCAAGCAUAGUUUUUGAUUAGUCUAUUACACAGCAUACAAAAACUGUAUUUUCGGUACACUGUACAGGGGUUAUACAAGAAGCCUCCUGUGUUGAAAAUCAAAGCAUGCGAUGCAGUUACAUGUAGGUAGGUAAGCAAGCCCUGGACUUGCUCUUCUUGGUGUCUGGGCACUGACAACUGUGUCUCCAUGGUAAUUAUACUCAGUCUCUAAACUCCUCCUUAGGUGUCAGAUGAAAAGGCUGGACUAGACUAUCCUCUCAAGUCAUGCCCUAGCAGAAAUCCGGUGUUUCACUGCUAGAACUAAAUACUUGGGAUUCUGCCCCCGUUCCUAAUUGCCCCAACAUUCAAGGAGAGAGAAAUGUCAGUAGAGAAAACUUACUCAAUUACAACUUUCGUUUUGUUUUUUCUUACAUUGUUGGCAUCUGACGAUGUGUAUCAGCUUUUAAGUACUAACAGAUGAUAAAAUAAAACAUCAUCAUGA